rnacentral:piRNA from 1 species
GAGUCUUGGGCCCUGGCAGUGGA